GCAGUAGCCGCGGUAAGACGGAGGGUGCUAGCGUUGUUCGGAAUCACUGGGCGUAAAGGGCGCGUAGGCGGCCUGUUAAGUCGGAUGUGAAAGCCCGGGGCUCAACCCCGGAACUGCAUCCGAGACUGGCAGGCUUGAGACCGGGAGAGGAGGGUGGAAUAUCCAGUGUAGAGGUGAAAUUCGUAGAUAUUGGAUGGAACACCGGUGGCGAAAGCGGCUCUCUGGCCCGGAUCUGACGCUGAGGCGCGAAAGCGUGGGGAGCAAACAGGAUUAGAUACCCCGGUAGUCCCUGUCUCUUAUAC
rnacentral:rRNA from 1 species